CCUCUCUAAAUUAUGCCUUCAUCUGCUUUGCACAACAGGACUCAACAGACUUCCUCAUUUCCACAACAUAGUCAGACUGUCACUUCUGAUCAGUCACACAGAGCACUGAAGAGGAGCUGUACAUCUUACUUGUAGUAUAGGAAAAACAUGGAAAGAAACCUCAGGAGAACAGCUGAAGUAAUUUUCAUGGGGAAGCAGGAAGAACAAUAAGAUGCAGUCUCAUAAAUUCAUGUGAAAACCCUAUAUCUCCAUCUUACUUCUGUUUGAAUUGGCAGUGGAUUAAUUGCUUUUGGUCCAUCAUCUUUUAACAAUCAGAAGGGAAAAAACCAAAACUUUGAUGACACUUACAUUAGGAACAGAAGUAUAACUAAAAAUAAAAGACAAAAUUUACAUUCGGGUAAAAGCCACUGGGAAAACAUGAGUUCAUACCCAUGCCAAAUUGUAACACUGUUUAAUUUUCUGCUAAGAAGAAGAGAAAAAAUGGUUUCUAUAUGCUCUGUUAGUAACCACAAAAUAAAUUCAGUGGGGAACUUCUCUACUGAUGCUGCAAAUAUACUACAAAAUCAUUCACAGAAAGAAAGAAAGGUAAUAAAAAUGCAUUUCACUAGGUCAACAACUUCAGCAUAAAACAGGUAAACACAUUCAGUUUCUGUCUAUCAGAGAACAGUUUCCAAUUAAUCUUCAAAAGAUUGGCAGGUAACACCUUCACAUUCUUAAAACUGUUAAACAUUUGGCAGCAUGUUAUUAGCCCUGUACAUACCAAAAAUAUGCUUUGUUAUUUCCUUCCUGCUUCCAUGCUUGGACAUUUCAAACAGCCAAAGCAUAUGUAAUAAUGACAGAAAUGGUAAGAGUUUAAUAUGCAAUGUUAUUGUUAGCAUUCAAGCUUCUAUGUAUUCCUUUUACCAUUUUGCAGCAUGAAUGUUGCAAGAGAUGGGUAUUUUGAAACAGCAAUGUAAAAAUGAUAAAGUUAACAUGAAGUCAUGUUUUACAUUUCUCCUUGAUGACAUU